rnacentral:rRNA from 1 species
GACGAACGCUGGCGGCGUGCCUAAUACAUGCAAGUCGAACGCACUCUCGUUUAGAUUGAAGGAGCUUGCUCCUGAUUGAUAAACAUUUGAGUGAGUGGCGGACGGGUGAGUAACACGUGGGUAACCUGCCCUAAAGUGGGGGAUAACAUUUGGAAACAGAUGCUAAUACCGCAUAAAACCUAAACACCGCAUGGUGUAGGGUUGAAGGAUGGUUUCGGCUAUCACUUUAGGAUGGACCCGCGGUGCAUUAGUUAGUUGGUGAGGUAAAGGCUCACCAAGACCGUGAUGCAUAGCCGACCUGAGAGGGUAAUCGGCCACACUGGGACUGAGACACGGCCCAGACUCCUACGGGAGGCAGCAGUAGGGAAUCUUCCACAAUGGACGAAAGUCUGAUGGAGCAACGCCGCGUGAGUGAAGAAGGUUUCGGAUCGUAAAACUCUGUUGUUGGAGAAGAAUGUAUCUGAUAGUAACUGAUCAGGUAGUGACGGUAUCCAACCAGAAAGCCACGG